CCGUAGCCCAAGAGAUCGUGAUAACACCUGGAAACAGAUGCUAAUACCGGAUAACAACAGAUGAUGCCUAUCAACUGUUUAAAAGAUGGUUCUGCUAUCACUCUUGGAUGGACCUGCGGUGCAUUAGCUAGUUGGUAGGGUAACGGCCUACCAAGGCGAUGAUGCAUAGCCGAGUUGAGAGACUGAUCGGCCACAUUGGGACUGAGACACGGCCAAACUCCUACGGGAGGCAGCAGGC
rnacentral:rRNA from 1 species